rnacentral:rRNA from 1 species
CGCAAUGGACGAAAGUCUGACGGAGCGACGCCGCGUGAGCGAAGAAGGCCUUCGGGUCGUAAAGCUCUGUUGUUAGGGAAGAACAAGUACGAGAGUAACUGCUCGUACCUUGACGGUACCUAACCAGAAAGCCACGGCUAACUACGUGCCAGCAG